UACGUAGGGGGCAAGCGUUGUCCGGAUUUAUUGGGCGUAAAGAGCGUGUAGGCGGCCUGAAAGGUCAGCUGUGAAAACUCGAGGCUUAACCUCGAGACGUCGGUUGAAACCAUCUGGCGUAGAGUCCGGAAGAGGAGUGUGGAAUUCCCGGUGUAGCGGUGAAAUGCGCAGAUAUCGGGAAGAACACCCGUGGCGAAGGCGGCACUCUGGGACGGUACUGACGCUGAGACGCGAAAGCGUGGGGAGCGAACAGG
rnacentral:rRNA from 1 species